UAGAAACCUGCGUACCGUUGAUAGAAAAAAAACGCAUAAAGCGGGCCGUGACAAUAUGAUCAUAUCAACGUAAAUUGCAUAAAGUUCGGCUUCGGUGGCCGUAGUUUGUGGUGUGAAGGAAAAAGAAAAAUUGAAAUUGAAAAAAAAAAUGAAUUCAGCAAUAGCGGUCGACGAGUUUCAGGUCGGUCGGGAAUGUGCCUGAGUCUGAGAUGGACGCUACGAAAGCGACUUCCGUUAACUAAUUAAAAGGGAGUUAUUACUCGCGGUGUGCUCUGUAAAAAUGUUGAAUUUACAAGUGAAUGUUUACCUUUGACGACCGCCUGAACAGUGUGUGUGGGUAUUUUUCGUUAUCUAGAAAACUCGACGCUUCAACGCGGUGCAUCCGAUGCAUUGUUGGUGAGUGACUUGACGCAGUGACAUGUUGAGAACGGCUAGUGGGUGACCUCUCGCUACGGCUUUUGUACGACUGUUCCGUACCCUGGGUGUAACGUUUUUUUUAUUAAAUAGGAUAAUAUUAACAUAAGGUGGGAGUGCCGUUGAUACCUUAUUGUUUUAAACAAAAAUCGUAACUACUCUUGCCUUCUGGUACGAUUGUGGUUUUAUCGCCCGCUCUACCGUGCGCGCGGUGCUGGAAUGAAAAUCUCCGUGUCUCGUAUUGUAGAUAUUCGAAAAACCUUUCGGAGACCCACGAGCAACCGAUUGAACAAUAAAAUCUCGGAACACAUAUCGGCAUCGGUAACACCCCUCCAUGUUUGUCUGGAGGAACAAAGAGGACCAGAACUGGGCUCGUGUGACCACACGGAUCGGAAGCCCCAGGUUAAGGGUGCUGGAGACGGUGGUGGAACAAGAGGACGAGGAGGAGGAGGGCGGGAGGCUGAGAUCGAGGGCGGUGGGGAGGCUGAGUUAAGGCAGAGCCAGCUGAGCAUGGCAAAUACCAUCAGCAACAUGAAGAUGACCAACCCUAUAAAAGGGCUAGUCAGCAAACGCCGGAAACGUUUUACAAAAGAUGGCUUUGACCUUGAUCUCACAUAUAUAAAGGAUAACCUCAUCGCUAUGGGUUUCCCCGCUGAAAAGCUAGAAGGAGUUUACAGAAAUCAUAUCGAUGAUGUUGUCAAAUUCCUCGAAUCAAAGCAUAAGGAUCACUAUAAAAUUUACAAUCUUUGCUCCGAAAGGUCAUACGAUGGUAAGAAGUUCAAACUACGAGUGGCUACUUAUGCAUUUGAUGACCAUAAUCCACCAAUGCUAUCACAAAUCAGGCCAUUCUGCGACGACGUUCAUUCUUGGUUAUCUCAGGACAGAGAAAACGUGGCAGUUGUUCACUGUAAGGCAGGCAAGGGUCGUACAGGUGUCAUGGUAUGCUGCUACCUCUUACACAGCAAACAGUUUAGUACAGCUACAGAAGCCCUGAACUUUUAUGGAACCAAGAGAACGCACGAUAGAAAAGGAGUAACAAUACCAUCGCAAAGGAGAUAUGUGGGCUACUAUGCGUCGCUUAUACAGGAGGAGCUCAUCUAUGAACCUGUUAAUCUAAUAUUGCAGCAAAUCCGAUUGGAUCCUGUUCCAAUAUUCAACGGAGGCCAGGGAUAUCUUUCUUUCGUUAUAUCUGCGUCCAACGAGAAGAUUUUCAUCUCGGAUGUCUACGAAGUGAGGAAAGGAAUGCAUUCCAUAUGCAUCCCAUUUAAACAUAGCAUUUCACUCUGUGGGGACAUUCGAAUAGACUUUUUUCAAAGGCCAAAAAUGAAGCGGAAAGAAAAAAUGUUCCACUUCUGGUUCAACACAUUCUUUGUGCGUGAACACGCAGCCACCGAGUACGACAAUGGUGAUGUACCAGUGGAAAGAUCGCAGAGGGCAUUGAGCUACGAUGGUACUGCUAUGGAAUUGCCAAUGGUUACAGCUCACUCUAGACCAAGAACAGGUUCGUUAGCUAGCCUCGGUCCUAUGCCGCCAUCCCUCGUUUUGAACAUCGACAAGGCUGGUUUGGAUGAUGCUCACAAAGACAAGCAUCACAAGUUGUAUAGUGCCGACUUUAAAGUGAGCUUGUUGAUGCAACGAGUCGCUAGUAGUAUGCAGUCAUCGGUGCCGGAUGCAGUGAACAGAUCAAGUGUUCCGAUUAGGGUGGGAAUCGAUGACCCGGAGACACCGAGCGAAUCUAGUGACGGUUCGAGCAGUGAGUGCGAUACAACAGGCGAUGAAGAGGGCUGGGAGUCGGGUGAGUCCUCUGCAUCUCUGGUGGUCAGUCAUCCACGCACACACAGCCCUAGCCAGACACACGCCAAUACCCACCGCAGGGCUAGUUUCAGGCAAACCGCAAAAAGCUUACUGUCACGUGGGGAAAAGGGUAGGGGUAGUCAUAGAGAAAGUACUACUAGUGUCAAACGUUCGUCUACAUUUGUGCGAUCGGCCACACUUGAUACGUAGUUCAUCUGUUUGUUUUUGGUACCUUUGGAUCGUGAUUAAUGAAUGCUUAUGUACAUGUGAAGAAUUCUGCCUGAAUGUGUUUCAAAUUCGAUUUUCUACAGGGGGCUUUUUUCCUCUUUCUCUUUCCCACUUUAAAACAUACGUACCUACACACAUACUUCGUUACAAAAAACAGUACUAUGAUACCUACAGCAAAGUGCAACACACGUGGCAGAAAACUUAACAAAUUACAAAUAAUCUUUGGGGAUUAGUAGAGUAUAGUGGGGUUCUGCCUUUCCGUUAAAUUUCAAAUUAAUCAGCCAAGCUUACCGGAUAUUAUUGAAAUCUGUGCCCUCACUCUUCAGUUUCUAAAGUGAUUAUGAUAGUCUUGUAUAAACUUGUGGUCGAGUUUUAUAAGACUAUCAUCUCGAUAAAACAAUUAGGAAUUCGUCUGUCCUGUAACGGCUGGUUGGAAAGAUUUCUUACACCUUUAACAUUUCACAUUUAUAUCCAUCUAGAGAGAUAUCGGUUCACUUAGAAAAUCAUAAGUGAUUAAUAGAUAAAAUGGGCUAUCUGGUAUAUCUGUUGCUUUGUUUCAAUUUCAAACUCUAAAUUUCCAUACUUAUAGGAUGCAAUCAUUCGUAAAUUGAAUGAUCAUCUGACAACAAAAAAAAAACGUCCUCAACUCAUUGCUCACAUAAAAAAAAGUAUGCGCAACAACCUAUGUAAUAUACCUGGUAUUUAACAUAGCAUAGGUAUCAUAACAGUUACUGGAAUGCAUGUGGUUUGCUAAAGAAUUAGAUUUAAGCUUGUGGUCAUAACUACGCGGGAAUUAACGAGUGUUUGUACCCAUCGUUUUUAUUUCAUUAUACAAAAUUAGCCCAUCUCUUUCGCUGAUGAUGCGUCAAAUCACUCCGCAAGUUUGAUAGCCUGAUAUUGUUCUCAUGUGUGAUUACUGAAAAAACGUUACUCGGACUUUCAAUCAAACUAAUUUGGAUGUAUUUGACCGUUCAUCAAAUUAUCAUCAAAUAAAUCAUUAUUCGUCAAAGGAGCUAUAUCAACGCGAUGCGGGUAUAGUCAUCUCCAUAUCAUCAUUUCAUCUCAUAACAAAUCACACGUACUUUUGUCGUAAAAAAAAUUCGCAGGAAACUCUUGGUAACAAAGUCUCCCAAAAAAUUGUUAUAACCGAUGCCAUGAAGGACAGCAUAUGAUCAGCAGCGUAUCCUAGAAUACCAAACUAGUGAAGCGAUACGAAAAAUUUAACAUCCCCAUAAGACCGUGCGGGCUUUAUCUAUGAUUGAAUUGGUGCAGCGACGGGCGCCGCACCAUCAAAUCGCGUUGCCGUAGAUUUUCUAGUUUAACUUUCGCGUGGAUGAUUUCAAUAUUUUCUAGGAACAAAAACUAUGGCCUAGUUCAUCCUGAAUUGGAUGUUUCCUUAAACGUCGUAUUUGUAUUUCUUAAGGUACUUUUUUCUCUAGAGCAACAUAGCGUUAGCACUGGUUUUGUGCUAUUUCGUUGAUGUGUGUGAAUAUUUUUGCAUUGUACGCAUUCGACCCCUAGUAAUUGGUUUAGGCUGAGCGUUCCUGAGUAUGAUACGAUUGAUGUUGUAGGAAAGUUUUUAAUGGGAUGUUAUUCGGCAUACUAACAAUUGAAUAAACUUGGAAAAUUUUUGUUGCACUCACAAGUUUUUCUGUUAAUUUUCAUGAUCUGAUAUUCGGUAUGUUGUUUUUACAAUAUUUUUUAGCCUCGCAAAGAAUUGUUGCAUAAUGUUGUUGUUAGGAUUUUUAUCAUUCAAUUAAAAAAUUCACCCGAACAGAUCUGGAAGUUUUACGAGAAUAAUUUUAACUCUAUUUGAAUUCGUGCCAAAUGCGAUAUACGGUGUACUUUUCAAUUUUAUUAAAGCGGUCAUAAAAUUGAAAUCUCUCACCCGUAUGCGUUUGGAGGACAAGCUGAAAUUUAUGGGUGCAUAAAGAAAUAUAUUGAAGAAUUUAACACUAUAUGUCGAGGUGUAGUUUCCAUUCGUUUUUCAUGUCCUCUCCACUCCCUUUGAAUUAGCACAUUUUAUCUACGUCAUUUAAAUUAAUGUCAUUUCGAUGAUGGAUUUUAUUUUUCCAUCAUCUUUUUUUUUUUGGUAUAAAAUAUUCGGUGCGUUAAUUUAGGAAUAAAUUUUACAGCGUGGCGAUAACCCUCCCACUAUGUAUAGAAUAAAUGGGUCAGACCAGUAGGCCCGAAGCUUUUGAUUGUCAGGGUUGCUUAUUAUUUACGAAUGAAUUUAAAAACUCCAUAUACAAUCGCGAGAAAACCACAAAACCCACAGAUGAACUGAUUUCUCGAACCGUGAAACAAACACACCCACAAACAGAAAGUUAACAAAAACAUAAUGUACAGACACAACACCAAUGUCUUUCUAUCUUCUACAUUUUUUCUAAUCAAUGUAUUGAAAAGUUAAACUAGUUUUAGCGUUAGUUGUAAACGUAAUUAUUGUUAUGACGGUAAUAUAUUAUUAGUUGAGUAUAAAUGAAAGUUACGAGCGUUCAGGUGAACUAGUUUCUGGAUGCAGAUUCGAAUGGAUCGUCAGAGUAAAUGUUGGUGUAAAAAAAGAAUGUGUAAUACACACCGCUUUUUUCAAACCUGAGUUUUAAAAAACUUGAAAUUAGCAUGUGACUCUUGAAAAGUCUGCAAAAUAUUUAGUAUCCCUUUUGUCGAAGCAUUGAUGUCAUCCAAAUUAGCGCAUGAUACGAAUGUAAAAGCUACCGUACUGUAAACGUCUAUUGAACGAUCUUCGUCUAUUUUUGACCGAAAAUAGAAAUUCCUGCCAUGAAUGGUACCAUUUUUGAUUUCAACUAAUUAGUUAUAAAACUGAAAAAAGCAUGUGCCAAAAUAAUGUUUGCCCGAAAACCAGCCUGUCUAGUGUUAAUGUUUACGUGACGUUAGAAAAAAGUAUAACAUUCAUAAACUAUACUUUUAGCAGGUCAGUUUAGUAAAGGAGAGAUAUCGUUGUCGACAGAAUGCGACAGAAUGAAUACUUUGCUUGUUUCACCUUACCACGUGAAAUCGGGCUCGAUAGUGUUCACGGUGUAGCAAAUUUAGGUUCGAAAUAUGAAACAGGUAGUAUAGUACGUAUUCAGAUGUUGUCAAUCGCUAUUUCAAUUCCAUUUGUCCUUGGAGACAAUAAAAAUAAUUGAAUUACUUGGAUUUUCAAAUAGAACACAAUCAAAGGAAUGAAAGGAUAUGCCAUUGUGAUUAAUAAUUGUUUCUGGUCGGUGAGAACUGUGUGAUAAUCCAGGCGAGCAACAAAUUUCAAAUAUAUGCUGGUAAUUGUUACAACCGUAUCCAAGAAGCUAGUAUCGCCAUAGCUCGAAUAUAAGAAUUUUGUAUAUAAGUAGGCACUAGUAGAUCACUAUUGAUGUAUUGAUAACAAUUGAUUUAAUCACGAAUCGUAUCGAAUAAAUUUUUUAGGGUCUUGAUAUUCAAGCUAAGUUUAUUAUACACUUCAUAUUUUGGUCACAUGUAAUGGAAUCUGAAAGUUUUCGGUUAUUCAACAUAACAUUGCGAUUUGAGCGAUCCUGAAUGUCCGGAGGAACGUAAAAAAUUAUUUAAAAAAAAGCCUCAAAUCCUCACCAAACAAUUAUGAAAGUUCUCUGCUAAUUAUUCGCCCGAGUUUUCAACAAUCGUGUAUGCCGCCGGUCGUGAAUGAAUUGAGCGGAACCUUAAAAAUGGUUAGUUCGUCGUAGCCAUGAAACCUGAUUAUAGGUACCUGAUCGUUAACUUAAAUAAAAAUAAAAGAAAUAAAAAAUUGGAUAACGUCGAUCUUUCAUGGAAUUUAUCGUUCACUGCGUGUUUAAAGUCACAAGCACCUUUUCAAGUGGCUUAAUUUUCAUAAUUCCAUGUGACUGAAUUCAUCGGUUGCCCCAUACAAUAUUAGUUACUUACGGCAAACAGAUUCGAAAAGCGAAUAUCGAUGCUCUAUUGUAUUAAUUUCCUUGUCAUUAAAAAAAAAAAAACACAAAUUUCUAUGGUUUUUAUCACUGCACGUUGAUAGUUUAUAAAUCCACAAGUUUCAAGAUUGCCAUAUUAAUACAAUCAUACAGAAUCUAUGUACAAUAAUGAUUAUAUUGUAUAAUGAUUAUAUUGUGAUAUUAUUAUACUGAUUAUAAUUAUGUUAACGGUUUUUAAACAUAUUGCUAUGCUACCUAUUGUACUUCUGUAAUUGAUACUUUGAUGAUAAGAUUAUAUAUUAUAAUUAUAUAAUGGCACUCUUUAUUUUGUAAUAUUUUCUCAUUUCGUGGAUCCUCUUUGAUUAGGAUUUAGAUAUAUGUAUACCUAUGUAUAUGUAUUACGUAGGAUAUCUUUAGUUAAUUGCAUUACGAUUUUUGUUAUCUAUCUGGUAUUUAUCAUUAAAUUAUAAUAAUUAGAUCUCAAAAUAUUCAAUUAAAUCUUUAUGUUUUUGGUGACAGCUUGCGGAGAAACAAAAAUCAUUCAAUCGGGAUACUUUUCAGCUAUCUAUUGAGCGUGAACUUAUUCAAAAUAAAUUAUAAUGCUUGCAUUCGAGAAACAAACUACUCCGAUCAGGCUUGAAUAUUAUUAAUAUUAACAAAAUCAUCCGGUGAAUCUGUGGGCCCGAAUAUAGGCGAGGAUUUUAAUUGGUUUAAAUAUUUUUCUAACUGUCACCGAAGACACACUUGAAAGUUUUUAUUAUUUGCCAAAAAAGCUCUCCUCACUGCACGCUGGUAUCGCAUGCUACAUGCUUGUGCAUCGUAUCGCCAGUCGAUUUGUUGGUGUUUAGUAGUUGAAUUAUAAUUAAAUAAUUAAAUGAAACAAGAUUGAAAUAGUGUUGAUUAUUGCAAGACAGAAAUCCAUGUCAUUCAUCCGCAGACAGUAAUCGAAUGCGCUGAUACUGAUUUUAGCGAUUAGCAAAUUUUAAAGAUGCAAAAAUAACCGGCACUCUUUCAAUUGCAAUAAAUUUAGGUUUAACAAUAUUAGCCGUCGUAAUAUGCUCAAUAAAUGAUCGACAUCUCUGUGUCUAUUGGCCCCUAGUGGAUUUGGAUCAACGAGUCGGACGGUACCGUCUUCUCUCCGAUGGAGGGAUGAUAGAUCUUUUGUGAACUCUGCAUCCUCCCCCUGCAUUUCUCUUCGAGCUACAGUACUGUUCAUGGGCAUAAAUAUCAUGUCACAGAUUAACGUGGGUAGCGUAGCACAAGCAACCAACAAUCAUUGAUCUACCUUUGUCCUUUAUAAGUAGAGGGUGGGCGUUCGCAAUUUCAAUUGAAUCUUAUAAUGCUGUGUCCGUUGCUGACGCUGUCUGUCUAUUUUUUUCUGUGGUUUAGUUAUACCAUUUAUCAUUUUCACCAUUUUCCAUGAAAGCAUACUGUGAAAAAGAGAAACGAAAAAUCAAGCUUACGCGCUUCUUGCGUCUUCAUCGCGCAUGCCACACUAGAUUUUUUAUUCGUAGGUUUACUGUGUUUUUGUACAAAAGAGUUUUGAAAAAACUGGUGCACAGAGUCAGCAUCGACCCGAUCUUAUGGGUUUUCAAAUAACGAAUAGAUAUGUUGAGAUAGAUGAACUACUGCUAUCAAUAGAAUAUUCGAUGCUCCCAAUGACUCUGCAUUUUAGUGUAUGUCGAGUAGGCAUUGAAGUGGGAGAGUAGUAAAGUAAUCAGGACAAGCUCAAAUAUCGAAGACGAAUUCGGAUAUGAUAAUUAUCGUAGUUACGGGUAUUGAAAAAAAUCAAAUUCAUUAGGUGGAUGUAAGAUAUAUUUUAUACUUUCUAAUUUUCCGAUCAUAAAUCUUGAGUAGUAUUCAGACUGAUAAGAUUUUCCGAUCGCAAAGUUGAACUUGAAAAACAUGAUACUUUCCUCAUUCAAAAUCUACUCAAAUUACCACAACUCAUUUAUAAUAGACACGACCCCUUACCUUUUGCAGUUAUGGACAUAUUUGAAAUUCAAAUACUGAACACAGGUUCAACUAAAUUCUGAAUUUUUAAAAAUUUCGCAAUUAUAUUUUAUCUGAUUCCUAAAAGAGCAAUACUUGUCUGUUCAAAUCCAUAGAUUUCAUUUACUGUGAAUCUGGAAUUAAGGCAAAAGAUUUUGCAUAGUUACAAAUAUUGGACUGUGUGUAAUUGAAUCGUCGAUAAAAUCGUUAAGUAACGCAAGAAUUUGAUUAAGAAUUGAGCAGCAUUACAACAAAGAACACAUUUUUAUAUAAGAUGGAGUGGUGUGAGAAGUACAUUAAAAAGAAAAUACUAUAUUUUCGUAAGGAAUAAAUAAUUGUAAGUCAAUAAUAAAUGUAGUAAAAGCGUCGUACCUCUCCGCCUCUUGGCUCAGAAUUAGUAUGUACGCAUAUCGAUCUCACUUACACCCACUUACCUUAGAAUCUGACAAUGAGUGUAAGAGGGAUACAGAAUGUAAUACUUGCUUAGUUCAUAGAGCUAAAUAUCCACUGAAUUGUAGAUUUGAUUAAUGCCGAAUGCAUUUAAUAACCACGUCAGUUGGAAGCUCAAAGCUGAACGCGUUUAAUGGUAGUAUGUUCAAAACUAGUAAUUGGCAAAGACAAGUAAUUGACGAAGAGUGAUUAAUUGUGAAACAUAUUUUACAUUUCCCAAAUCUGAAUUUGUCAAUUGACAUUAAGUGAUUUGAAAUUUGUCAACACCUGAUGAACUGAAUUCUUCAAUUUUUUAUAUAUCCUGUAAGGACCUAAUAUGUGUUAGCUGUGUGUUUCACUCGCAGGAUAUCUAUUAUAGAUUUUCAUUAGUUUGAGAAGAUUAAUUACCACGGUCGCUAGUGAGACCAAUUAGAAUACAUUUUGUGUCAUUAAAUUUAUCGGAAAGUAAAUUCACUGUUUAUCUAGCUCUAUGAGUCGUUCUUAAAGCAUUUAAUGUAACAUAGAGUAUAAAGCAUGCAAUACCAGGUCGAAACCGAGCUUAACCAUUGUACCCUAUUUGGUUGCGAAAUUAUCUGACGCGUUUGGCUUUUUAUUUUAUUUUUCUUUAUAUUCAUUACAUAGUUCACGCUGUUACGUAUCCUGUGAUUUUUGGCAUUCAGUGUUUCAUCGCAAUUCUGUUACAUAAUAAUGGAAAUCUUUUGACAUAAUUCUUUUAUACUAUUUAUAAGUUUGUAAAAAUUUCAUACAACUGUCAAAACUUGACCAAUAUACGAAUUAGAAUUACAGGUUUCAUUAAAUAGGAUAAUCUAUUUCAUAAUUAUCAAUGAUUUAAUACCUGGUGGUGACCUUCGAAGUGUUGGUCGAUCAAUUAAUGUGAGACUUGCCAAGAAUUAAAUCCGAUGACGCUCGAGUCACCUCAAAUAACAGUGGGCUCAAUAAUUCUUAGGCGCAGUUAUAAUUUGUCAAAUGGUAUUGACGUAUCAAUUAAGUAUUACAAUUACACGAAUGAAAUUGAACAUCUUCAUCCAAAUGCAAAUUCAAGUCGUUAGGAAUUAAUUUUUAGUUAGUUUCACACUGCAAAUUGAUGUAGGUAUACGCUCAUGGUUCAUCGAUCAGUAUAGUUUGAUUAAAUGUCAUUUUAUCAGUUGGUAUUUCCCUUGGCACUAGCAUGAAUUUUUUUUCAAUGGAGCGGUCCUAUUCGAUCAAAAACGAUUGCAAAUGCGCUGAAACCGUACCAAUUGCUGAGAAAAUGACAAAUCUACUCACCGAAAUUUGAUCAGACCGCUCUUCAACUAUGCUUUACAGUAAGAGAAGCAGAAAAAAUAUAAAGAAGAACGGUCUCAUCAACUGUAAUAGUUAUUACUUACAAAUGAGAAUCAUUGUUCAUACAAUUUCUACUAUUCAAGUACCUAAAUGUUGAUAGAAUUUAACAGUUCUUAUAUAAAAGUAUGAAUUGAUAUGCAUUAGUUAUUGAGAAAUAAAUGUUACUAUGCAGUUUAUAUAAUUAUGUUUAAUAAUAUACUGAAGCAGAUACCUUUCCUACACUUUGCACUAAGUUGUGCAAAAGUUGAACCCUAUAUGUACGAACGUUUGAAACAAAUUGAAUUAAGGUGAAUCAAAAUCAAUCAUCGGAAAACUGAAAACAGAUCACUAAAUUGACAACUAUCGUUCUUGCAUCGAAAUUAUUUUACGGUAUUCGAGAUAGGUAAUAAAUAUAGUUAUUUCUAGGAAUAAUAACAACUAUGCCUCGUAACGAAACGUCAACCUUGAUUACACUGUAAUUAUUUUCAUGCUCACUGGAAGAUACGUUUGACAAAUGAUAUUAUUUUGGGAGUCGACGUACUUGUGACUUUGAGACAUGACUGAUGGCGGGCCAAUCAGAGUUUAUUCCUCACAUACGAUUGUUCAACCCCAGACUGCAACGCACCAACUGCUUGACUACCAAUCGAUCAAUCAAUCGACAAAUCAACCAUCGCAUCUUGCCUGACACCUGUUACGCAUGCAUGCUCUCCUACUCACCGGUACAAGCUGACAUUGCAUUGUUACAUUCAUUAUUUUUAUAUUAUAGAAAAUCAUUUAAAUUAUUUAGAUGCGACUCUUUCAUUUGCAUUUCUUUUGAAAAUUAUUAUUAUUUCAAUUUUAUGUGAGGCUAAUGCAAGAGAGUUACGAGUUAGAAUCUGGGACUGGAAAUUGAAUUUGCGUUGAAUUUCUUUCCAGUCGGUUCAUUUUGUAGCAUAUAUUUAAUUAUACAAAAUUUUCUAUUGUAUUCUGUGCAAAGAUCUUUCAUAUACCAACACACUACUCGAUACACUCUUUGUUCGAAUCCAUAACACAUGCAAAUGUACAAGUUUGAAAAUUCCAGUGUCACAUGAAACUGGUGGAGAAAUAACUCUAUGUUGGAGAGAGAAAUUUGUUAUUAAUUAAAGGCGUCGUCUAGCAUCGCCCAUUUUUCAUUCCGGUAAUAAUGAAUAUCAUCUUUCCGAAUUGUAUUAAUUGGCUAUAUACUACAUGAUGAACCCCCUCAUAGUGCUUUUCGUUAUGAAAAAGCAAAAGUCACGGUAGAUCCAGAAAUUAAUAUAAGAUUACACAUCAAGAUGUAAUUUUAGAAUACUUUGUGUAUAAAAAUUUUCCGUUGUAAGAUUUUAACAAUAGACUUCUUCAGCAGCAGAUGGAUGGACUUUGAAGUCACCAUGCAUUGAAACAUGAUCUCUUGGUUUCUAGAUAAUAAAUGAGGAAAGUAUAUCUCUAUAUGUCUGGUGGUAAAUAACUGACAACAAACGAGGGAUAUCGCUUUCCGAGUUAUAAACAGCUAGUGGCUCCUUGGAGCAAUAUUAUUUAUUUAUUUAUAAAAAUCAAGGCACAAAUCAUCAAGGUGAUCUACAAUACUGGGUUGCUGGUUUAAUGGCAUCAACGUGUAUCGCUAUAGUUUAUAGAACAUGCAAGGAAAGUCAAGAUAUUUAAUAACUAAAUUUUUAACAGCAAUUAAUGAAAAGAAUAUAGAAUCAGAUCUAUAGAAGUUCGAAACAUAUAAGUUCGUUGCAUUAAAUCUUUUUUCAAAUUGUAUUCCACGGAUAAUCUUGAGAAAUUAGAAUUACCCAAUUAGAAUUACGAAGAAUAUUAACGAAGUUGUCCGUUUUUAUUCAACUAUUGACUAAAGAAAAAAAUAAAUUAGACAAUAAUGCGAUACAUUUUCAGUGGCGCGAUGAAAAUAUGAAAAAUAUUAAAGUUUGGAGUAUUAUAUUCAUGGCUAAAUCACAAUGUGUGCAAUGGUAUCAUAAACAUCCAAAUAUUUUUUUUCUCUGUCUUUUGAGUAGCAAUUUGGCUUUAAAAAUUCGCAUUUUCAAAUCAGUACGGUAAUAUCUUACUCUCCUAAACUGAUUCUCACAUGUUAUAUGAAACCACUUCGCUAAACGUACCUAUUUUUUUUUUUUUUUUGUUAAUUUUAAUUCUGAACAAAAGUUUUAUUCCAAUUGACUCACGAUCGCACAAUUGUGUACAUUUGUAUAAUGGCGAUUGAAUUUUUUGUUUUCAAACGUUACUUGAAAUAGCAUUCAUAUUUCGAAUGUUAAUGGAGUUGAGUUACUGAUUUUAUCUACCACGUAACGCGGCAGGAUCAAGUUCAUUUUAUAUUUACUCCCAAAAACUGAAUAAUUUCCAAAAUCUAUGAAGAUGUAUAAUUUCUAUUUUACGAUACCUGACUCUAGUUUAUGACGUAAUUGUGCUUCUAGCAAUCUUCAGUAAUGCUUGAACAGUACACUCAAACAUGAUUAAUAGUGCCGUUUCCAUUGUGUCAGCCUUUAAGUUAAUAAUUAAAUUUACAGUAUUUAGUGCCUAAUGUGCUUUUUACUUGUUGAAGUAAGCCAAAAUUUUGCUGAUAAUCAAGCAACUCAUUUACUGUUACUCAAAUUGUUAAUACGCCAUCGAUGAUGUUAGUUGAAAUUUAUUAAUUUUGUCUUACUUUACUAUAAUUUUUACUAUAAUUAACCAAGAUGUUAUUUUUUUGCAGAUUCGUUCAUUAAUUUUAGUAAAUCUUGAAAAAGCUUUACUUCAGUAAUGAGAAAAUUCCUCAGCUCAGUUACAAUAUUACUGAUGAAUUGAAUCUAUGAUAAUGGUUCGUCACCCUGCAUUUGUUUUUGUUAUGCUAUAAUUAUAUUUUAAUAUGGAUUACUCAUGUGUCUCCACAAUCAUCGUAGCCAUAUCGUCAUUUAAUUUUCAAGCUACUGAUUUGUAAAUUCAUAUUAAUAACGAAUCAGAGCUGUGAAUCGAGUAUUUAUACAUAAUAUGAAUUACCUGAUUUGAUUUUACCAUAUUGUUCAAUUCAACCUAUAGAGUACAAACAAGUUGACUUGAUCUCACAUAGAGUAAAAAAUAAAAAAAAAGAAAGAAUUAAUUUUCUCCCAUAGGAAUACAAAUAUGUAGUUUUUUUUUUUUUUGUUUUUUAUUUUAUUUUGUAAAUUGUCUUUGCGUAAGUAGGGUUCAAGGGCAAUCUAUUCUAAAACAGCUGUGCAGAUUAGAUAUUGGAAGUUGUGCUACCUGUCCCAACAUCUCAUUUUGGUCAAGAUGCCGUGAGACUCGUAACGUAAUUUUUUUUCUGUGUUCAGAAUAUAAUUUAUUCAUUUUUUCUAUCAUAGAUUAACACUUUAUUGGUAAUGUCUCUGUAAUAGUGUGGAGAGCGGUCUAUACACAUUUGCAGAGCAUACCCAAAUAACAUAUGAGUUUAGUGUAAAUAUGCACGAUACCAAUGAAAAUACCAGGAUAAAUUUUAAUCAUGGUGCCUGCAACGUUAAGAGAAGAGUAAUCGAAAUAUGGAGAAAUCCUGUUUUGUAUUGUAGCGUCGGUGGUAUAUGUAUCACAAGUUCAAAAUCUAUUUCAUUGUUCUACGUUAGGCUUUAUGUUUCCAUUGGAAUCUUGCAUUUCUAGUGUUAUAAUUAUGAUCUAACAUGAAAAAAUUUUAUAUUUUAAUUUUUAACUCCUUAUCUAAAUAAACAAACUCGAUCAGCAA